rnacentral:rRNA from 1 species
GAUGAACGCUGGCGGCGUGCUUAACACAUGCAAGUCGAACGAAGAAGCCAGCCUUGUGGGUGGUGUAGUGGCGAAGGGGUGAGUAAUAACUGAGGAACCUGCCCCCUAUUCUGGGAGAAGACCGGGAAAAUGGGACUAAUAACGGCUAAGAGAGUCCACCGCCAGGUGGUUGUUGGUAAAAUUUUUCGGUUUUGGCUGGACGCGCGGCUUAUCAGUUGUUUGGUGAGGUAAUGGCUGAACAAGGUGACGACGGGGAGCCCGCCUGGGAAGGUGACCGGCCACACUGGGACUGAGAAACGACCCAGACUCCUACGUGAGGCAGCAGUGGAAAAUAUUGCACAAUGGGCCCAAGCCUGAUACAACGACGCCGCGUCAGAAAUGACGGCCUUCGGGUUAUAAACCUCUUUCAGUAGGAAAGAAGCUAAAGUGACGGUACCUACACAAAAAGCACCGGCUAACUACGUG